rnacentral:rRNA from 1 species
GAUGAACGCUGGCGGCGUGCCUAACACAUGCAAGUCGAGCGAUUCUCUUCGGAGAAGAGCGGCGGACGGGUGAGUAACGCGUGGGUAACCUGCCCUGUACACACGGAUAACAUACCGAAAGGUAUGCUAAUACGAGAUGAUAUGCUUUUAUCGCAUGGUAGAAGUAUCAAAGCUCCGGCGGUACAGGAUGGACCCGCGUCUGAUUAGCUAGUUGGUAAGGUAACGGCUUACCAAGGCGACGAUCAGUAGCCGACCUGAGAGGGUGAUCGGCCACAUUGGAACUGAGACACGGUCCAAACUCCUACGGGAGGCAGCCGUGGGGAAUAUUGCACAAUGGGCGAAAGCCUGAUGCAGCAACGCCGCGUGAGCGAUGAAGGCCUUCGGGUCGUAAAGCUCUGUCCUCAAGGAAGAUAAUGACGGUACUUGAGGAGGAAGCCCCGGCUAACUACGUGCCAGCCGCCGCAGUAAGAC